AUUGAACGCUGGCGGCAGGCUUAACACAUGCAAGUCGAGCGGAGAGAGGUAGCUUGCUACUGAUCUUAGCGGCGGACGGGUGAGUAAUGCUUAGGAAUCUGCCUAUUAGUGGGGGACAACAUCUCGAAAGGGAUGCUAAUACCGCAUACGUCCUACGGGAGAAAGCAGGGGAUCACUUGUGACCUUGCGCUAAUAGAUGAGCCUAAGUCGGAUUAGCUAGUUGGUGGGGUAAAGGCCUACCAAGGCGAAGAUCUGUAGCGGGUCUGAGAGGAUGAUCCGCCACACUGGGACUGAGACACGGCCCAGACUCCUACGGGAGGCAGCAGUGGGGAAUAUUGGACAAUGGGGGGAACCCUGAUCCAGCCAUGCCGCGUGUGUGAAGAAGGCCUUAUGGUUGUAAAGCACUUUAAGCGAGGAGGAGGCUCUUUUGGUUAAUACCCAAGAUGAGUGGACGUUACUCGCAGAAUAAGCACCGGCUAACUCUGUGCCAGCCGCCGCGGUAA
rnacentral:rRNA from 1 species